rnacentral:rRNA from 1 species
AUGAUUUGCUUAAGCUGGAACUGCUGGGGGCUUGGGAACCCCGAGGCAGUUCGCGAGCUUCGCAAUGUGGUGAAGCAAGAAGGUCCCGCCCUUGUCUUUGUGAUGGAAACGAAGAUUAGGGCUGUCAGGGUUGAGAACCUGAAGUUUUCUUUGGGUUUCUCUGGUUGUUUUGCAGUGGACAGUGUCGGGCUGAGUGGAGGCCUUGGAUUAUUUUGGUCUAAGGACGUGUCCGUUGAGCUUAAGAAUUACAGUGCCGGCCACAUAGAUUGUGUGGUGCGGAGAGUUGAUACUCCAUCUGAAGUAUGGCGCUUCACAGGGUUCUAUGGCGCGCCAAGAGUGGAGGAUCGUCACCAUAGUUGGCGUUUUCUUCGAACGCUAUACUCACUUGCACACGAUGCAUGGAUUUGUAUGGGUGACUUCAACGAGACGUUGUACGCGGAUGAACACUUCAGUCGUUCGGCUCGCCCUGAAUGGCAGAUGAGAGCGUUUCGAGAAGUAACAGACGAGUGUGACCUUCAAGACCUGGGCUGGACGGGUGUGCCUUUCACGUGGGACAAUCGGCAGCAGGGAGGGUCAAAUGUUAAGGCCCGGAUUGAUCGUGCUUUCGCGAACGAGUAG